rnacentral:sRNA from 1 species
UUUAUAAAUAAAGAGUAUGUUUUACAAUAGUUUUUACAAUCAAGUUUUAAAGAUUUACAAAGGGUUAAAAGCAAUUUAAACUAUUUACAACGGAUUUUAAAAGGUUAAUUAAGGAUCUGUUGGAUGUUUUUGAUCUUGUGAUCAAAGGAUAUAGAAUGAGCAAGAAGGAUUGGUGUCAGGGAUGGAUUCAAGUGGAACAAGGACAUCAAGGAAGAAUUGAUCAUGUCUUGAAACCUGCAAUUGAAACAGUUGUGCAUCAAAGCAGAAAAAGGAAAUCAAUGUCCUUUGGUGAGAAGGUAAAACUGGUAUAUGAAAAUUGUGAGGUUCUUAAGAAGAAAGUUGGAAGGCUGGAGGGCUAUUUAGGCAUCGAAAGAGUUCCUGCCAGUUAUACUAGAGAAGAACAAAAAGAAGAGGACGAAAAAAGGAGCAAGAAGAAGAAAAGCAAGAGGAAGAAGGAAAAGAAGAGGAAUUAGAAAAGGUAUGUGUUUUUACAAGAGAUUUUAAAAGCUUAUAAAUCGUGUUUUAAAGAUUUUUAGCCGUUUUUAAAAGAUAGGCAGUGUUAGAUAUGUUUUUACAAGGGAUUUUAAAGACAUCUUAAUGGGGUUUUAAAGAUUUAAAUUCGUUUUAAAGGAUAGGCAGUGUUCGAUAAGUAUUUACAACGGAUUUUAAAAGCUUUUUAAAAAGUGAUUUACAUGAGUAACUUGUAGUUAUAAAACUUGUAAUUUUAUAUACAGGUUGAAUACAGAGGCGACGAAGGGACAGAAAAACAAGAAAUCCCCAAACAAGGCGAUGAAGAAAUGGAAGGGGAAGAAGAAAAGCAAGAGGAAGAAGGAAAAGAAGAGGAAGAAGAAAAGGUAUGUUUUUUUACAAGGGAUUUUAAAGACUUCUUAAUGGGGUUUUAAAAGAUUGAAAUUCGUUUUUAAAGGAUAGGCAGUGUUCGAUAAGAUUUUACAACGGAUUUUAAAAGCUUUUUAAAAGUGAUUUACAUGAGUAACUUGUAGUUAUAAAACUUGUAAUUUUAUAUACAGGUUGAAUACAGAGGCGACGAAGGGACAGAAAAACAAGAAAUCCCCAAACAAGGCAAUGAAGAAAUGGAAGUGGAAGAAGAAAAGCAAGAGGAAGAAGGAAAAGAAGAGGAACAAGAAAAGGUAUGUGUUUUUACAAGGGAUUUUAAAAGCUUAUAAAUCGUGUUUUAAAGAUUUUUAGCCGUUUUAAAAAGAUAAGCAGUGUUAGAUAUGUAUUUACAAGGGAUUUGAAAGACUUCUUAAUGGGGUUUUAAAAGAUUGAAAUUCAUUUUUAAAGGGUAGGCAGUGUUCGAUAAGAUUUUACAACGGAUUUUAAAAGCUUUUUUAAAGUGAUUUACAUGACUAAUAACUGUGUCCUGGCUUGUAUUUGGGAACUUGUAAUUAUUUAUACAGGUUGAAUACAGAGAUCAUCAUUCUACUUGCAAUGUUGAAGAAACAGAAAAACAAGAGAAUCCCAAACAAGGCGAUGAAGAAAUGGAAAGAGAAGAAGGAAAAGAAGAAAAAGUAGAAAAACAUGAUGAAUAUAAUGAUGCUGCAGAUCAAGAAGCGUAUAUAAAUUUGUCAGAUGAUGAAGAUAAUGAUACUGCACCCACAGAGAAAGAAUCACAACAAAAAAAAGAAGAAACAAAUGUCUGCUUUCCUUAACUUUUUAAAAAGACAUGAUAAAAUUGUCAAAAAAUAAAAAUUUUGUUUUGAUGUUUUGGUUUACAGGUUUUAAAAGAAGAAAACGUAGAAGAACAUGAUGAACAUGAUGAGACUGAAGAUCAAGAAGCAUAUGUAAUUUUGUCAGAUGAUGAAGAUAAUGGGACUGCACCCACAGAGAAAGAAUCACAACCUCAAAAAGAAGAAACAACAGAGGUCUGCAUUCCUUAAUUGUUUAAAAAGACAUGAUAAAAUUGUCAAAAAAUAAAAAUUU